AUUGAACGCUGGCGGUAGGCCUAACACAUGCAAGUCGAACGGCAGCACAGUAAUUGCUCCUGCAUACAGCGGCGGACUGGCGGAUGAUUCCUGGAAAUAUGCCUGGCAGCGUGUGCUAACGUGCUAAAGCAGGCGCUAAUACCGCAUACGCGCAGACGGCCUACGGGGGAGAGCUUCGGAUCUUCCGCUCUCACAUGAUCCUAUGUCGGAUUAGCUAGUUGGUGGGGUAAAGGCCUACCAAGGCGACGAUCCGUAGCUGGUCUGAGAGGAUGAUCAGCCACACUGGAACUGAGACACGGUCCAGACUCCUACGGGAGGCAGCAGUGGGGAAUAUUGGACAAUGGGCGAAAGCCUGAUCCAGCCAUGCCGCGUGUGUGAAGAAGGUCUUCGGAUUGUAAAGCCCUUUUAGUUGGGAGGAAGGGCAGUAGGUUAAUACCUCGCUGUUCUGACGUUACCAACAGAAUAAGCACCGGCUAACUUCGUG
rnacentral:rRNA from 1 species